GACGAACGCUGGCGGCGUGCUUAACACAUGCAAGUCGAACGAUGAAGCCCAGCUUGCUGGGUGGAUUAGUGGCGAACGGGUGAGUAACACGUGGGCAACCUGCCCCAAACUCUGGGAUAACUCCUCGAAAGAGGUGCUAAUACCGGAUACGAACUAGACAGACAUCUGUACUAGUUGGAAAGUCUUUCGGUUUGGGAUGGGCCCGCGGCCUAUCAGCUUGUUGGUGAGGUAACGGCUCACCAAGGCUACGACGGGUAACCGGCCUGAGAGGGCGACCGGUCACACUGGGGCUGAGACACGGCCCAGACUCCUACGGGAGGCAGCAGUGGGGAAUAUUGCGCAAUGGGCGAAAGCCUGACGCAGCGACGCCGCGUGAGGGAUGAAGGUCUUCGGAUCGUAAACCUCUUUCAGUAGGGACGAAGCGAAAGUGACGGUACCUAAAGAAGAAGCACCGGCUAACUACGUGCCAGCAGCCGCGGUAA
rnacentral:rRNA from 1 species